GCGUUGCCCGGAUUUAUUGGGCGUAAAGGGCGCGCAGGCGGCUACGCACGUCCGUUGUGAAAUCGCUCGGCUCAACUGGGCGGGGUCAGCGGAUACGGCGUAGCUGGAGCAAGCUAGGGGGCAAUGGAAUUCCCGGUGUAGUGGUGGAAUGCGUAGAUAUUGGGAGGAACACCAGUGGCGAAGGCGGCUGCCUGGAGCUUUGCUGACGCUGAGGCGCGAAAGCGUG
rnacentral:rRNA from 1 species